rnacentral:lncRNA from 1 species
AUGGAAGCCGCGGAAGCGCCCCCGGUCCACGGUCCACGGUCCACCUGCAGGCCGGGGGCACGGGGGUGUUCCCGCGAGGAGGAAGGCAGGUCCCUCACGGGCCGCUCCAGCUGCAGGGACCUUGGAGAAACCGAGUCCAGCCGCCUUUUUUUAGACGAGAAAAAGCCGAGGCCCGGAGACGGGAGGGAAGCUGCCCGAGGCCACCGGGCACGUGGCCGGCAGCCGGGGCCGGGCGGGGCGGGGCGCGGCGGGGCGCGGCGGCCGGUGCCCCUGGGGCCUCUUCCGUUCAGUGCGGAGCCGGGGCCCGGGAAGGGAAGGCGGGCAGCCCCGAGGCCUCCCCGGCGGGAAAGCGGAGGCGCCUGGGCCCGGCCGGAGCGGCUCGCGGCUCCCCGCCCCGGGCUGGGCCUCCCCGCGCUCCGCGCCCCACCCCGGCCCCAAGGGAGGCCGCGCGCAGCCUGCGGCUACCGGGGCGCUGGGGCGUGCCCAGCCCUCUUCUGUCUUCCGUCUUUUGUCUGUCCGCUUUGCAGAGCACCGAGCCCCGCCCCGCCCGGGGGCUCCGAAAGCCGCGGGGGAGCGCGCGGCGGGGGGCGGGGGGCGGGGGGCGCUGGGGCUGCGGAGGGGGCGGGGCGGGGAGUCCCGGGGGCUCCUUCCCCGCGCCGCCCGCAGGAUGAGACACGUUCCCAGCCAGCAUCUGUGAGCGGCGAGGCUCAGGGUGGGCGCUCGCGGAGUCCGUUUGUGGGACCGCGAGAUCCUUCAGGCCGGAGCCGCCCCGGCGGCCCCCAGCCCCUGCACAACUACCCCUCCCACCCAGAUUCCCCCCGUUGGGCGACCACCCUGCCCGGGGGCCCUCAGGAGCCACAGCCCUCAGCCAAGGCCUGGGUACCGAGCCGCCUCCCCACCCCGGACCCCAUCCUUUCCGCCCCUCGAGGGAGGCCUGCUAACUUCCGCACACCUGUGGGGAGGCGUCGGGGUAGGGCCACCUGCGCGCUCCUCGGGGACCCUGGCAACCCGUUUCUCUUGCCUUCUCCUUCCGAAGUCAUUUCUUCCUCUGGACUUCCUACCGCCAGUCUAGACAGCCUACAACCCCACUUGUUACUCUAG